rnacentral:rRNA from 1 species
GAUGAACGCUAGCGGCAGGCUUAAUACAUGCAAGUCGAGGGGCAGCGCGGGUAGCAAUACCUGGCGGCGACCGGCGCACGGGUGCGUAACACGUAUGUAACCUACCUUAAACUGAGGGAUAGCCCCUCGAAAGAGGGAUUAAUACCUCAUAACACUGCGGAGAGGCAUCUUUUUGCAGUUAAAGUUCCGACGGUUUAAGAUGGGCAUGCGCGACAUUAGCUAGUUGGUGAGGUAACGGCUCACCAAGGCUGUGAUGUCUAGGGGGUUCUGAGAGGAAAAUCCCCCACACUGGUACUGAGACACGGACCAGACUCCUACGGGAGG